AGGAGGAACAGCCCCAGUGGCGGGGCCAGCUCUAGAAACCUGGAUUCAGCUCUGGCAGGAACUCCGUCUGCAGGGCCUGGAGGCUCCGGGGCGGG
rfam:Canis lupus familiaris chromosome X, whole genome shotgun sequence.